AGGCCAGUAGUUCAAUUGGCAGAGCGUCGGAUUCCAAAUCCGAAAGUUGGGGGUUCAAGUCCCUCCUGGCCUGCCA
rnacentral:tRNA from 1 species